rnacentral:rRNA from 1 species
GUGAGGAAUAUUGGUCAAUGGACGGAAGUCUGAACCAGCCAUGCCGCGUGCAGGAAGACGGCUCUAUGAGUUGUAAACUGCUUUUGUACGAGGGUAAACGCAGAUACGUGUAUCUGCCUGAAAGUAUCGUACGAAUAAGGAUCGGCUAACUCCGUGCCAGCAGCCGCGGUAAUACGGAGGAUCCAAGCGUUAUCCGGAUUUAUUGGGUUUAAAGGGUGCGUAGGCGGUUUAGUAAGUCAGCGGUGAAAUUUUGGUGCUUAACACCAAACGUGCCGUUGAUACUGCUGGGCUAGAGAGUAGUUGCGGUAGGCGGAAUGUAUGGUGUAGCGGUGAAAUGCUUAGAGAUCAUACAGAACACCGAUUGCGAAGGCAGCUUACCAAACUAUAUCUGACGUUGAGGCACGAAAGCGUGGGGAGCAAACAGGAUUAGAAACCCCAGUAGUCC